rnacentral:rRNA from 1 species
GGCGGGGUAACGGCCCACCAAACCGACGAUGGAUAGGGGUUCUGAGAGGAAGGUCCCCCACAUUGGUACUGAGACACGGACCAAACUCAAACGGGAGGCAGCAGUGAGGAAUAUUGGUCAAUGGCCGAGAGGCUGAACCAGCCAAGUCGCGUGAGGGAUGAAGGUUUAUGGAUCGUAAACCUCUUUUAUAAGGGAAUAAGUGCGGGACGUGUCCCGUUUUGUAUGUACCUUAUGAAUAAGGAUCGGCUAACUCCGUGCCAGCAGCCGCGGUAAUACGGAGGAUCCGAGCGUUAUCCGGAUUUAUUGGGUUUAAAGGGUGCGUAGGCGGCCCCUUAAGUCAGCGGUGAAAGUCUGUGGCUCAACCAUAGAAUUGCCGUUGAAACUGGGAGGCUUGAGUAUGUUUGAGGCAGGUGGAAUGCGUGGUGUAGCGGUGAAAUGCAUAGAUAUCACGCAGAACCCCGAUUGCGAAGGCAGCCUGCCAAGCCAUUACUGACGCUGAUGCACGAAAGCGUGGGGAUCAAACAGGAUUAG